CGCUUUUUCCUCCUCGCCGCACUCUCUUUCUCUUCCUUAUCCAUUCUUCCUACCUCACCCGCACCACUCCUCCUCAGCCCCGAUAGCUAAGGCACCGCCGCUCGCCGGAGCUCCCCUCAAGCUCCCAAGCCAGGGCCGCCGGCCCUCUACAUCGUCGCCGGAUUUUCGGCGCCUCCCCAACUCUCCACCGCGAACAGAUCUGCAUCCCGUGCGCCAUCGCCAGCCCAAGCGGCGGCGCCCUGCCGCGAGGACCAGAGGGCGACUCCGCACCCACCUGAGGAAAGCUGCUGCUGGCCGGCAGUGAGGCUGACCCGCACAUAUCCCGUGCGCCUUCGCUGGCCCAUGUCCGGGGAGGCGAGCUUCGCGUCGGCCCAAGCAGCGGCCCCCAGCGUGAGGCCCGGCGGGCGAGGAUGCGCCGACCUGAGCAAAGCUGCUGCUGGCCGGCGGUGAGGCUGAUCCAUUCUGGCCUCGCCGACCUCGCAUCCGCCUUCCGCCGCGUCGCCCGGUGCCAGGCGGGCUCCCGGCGCAUCUUCCUUUGUCUCACUGUCGCCUCCCUACUCGGCAGGCUCGCCCGUGACCGCUCGCAAAAUUGAUGUUGUAAUUGUAUGCUUGGUCAUAGAGGGGGAUUCGCCAUCCACGGGUUCGGCGGCGACGGUCUCCUCCCUACCUGCAUCCGCGAGAGAGGCCACGACAGCUCGCCGACGGCGGGCCUCGAGGUGGCCGAGCGAAAAGCGGCGGUGCUCGGGGUCUUGGGAGCUCCUCACCACCACGGCCAUGGUAGCGGCAACAACAGCCAAGACCAUGGUCACGCCAAGCAGUAGCAGCCGUUCAGGUUCGUCCCGGGGUGCUUUACUCCCUGCAAUUUUUGACGCAGUUUUUGCUCCAGCUCAUGACAAACUACGUGUUGUGAUGCUAAUCGAUCACAUUUGUAUGUCCAUUUUUAUCUGUACACCCACUGCAAAAACUAUGCGAUGUAAUGCUAAUCUUGACCAGAUUUUGAUGCAUUUUUUUCACAAAUAAUUCAUGGCAAAUUAUGUGAUGCGAUGCAAAUGGAACCAAAACUC
rnacentral:rRNA from 1 species